AUUGAACGCUGGCGGCAUGCUUUACACAUGCAAGUCGGACGGCAGCACAGAGAAGCUUGCUUCUUGGGUGGCGAGUGGCGAACGGGUGAGUAACAUAUCGGAACGUACCGAGCAGUGGGGGAUAACUAAUCGAAAGAUUAGCUAAUACCGCAUAUCUUCUGAGGAAGAAAGCAGGGGACCGUUUGGCCUUGCGCUGUUUGAGCGGCCGAUAUCUGAUUAGCUAGUUGGUGGGGUAAAGGCCUACCAAGGCGACGAUCAGUAGCGGGUCUGAGAGGAUGAUCCGCCACACUGGGACUGAGACACGGCCCAGACUCCUACGGGAGGCAGCAGUGGGGAAUUUUGGACAAUGGGCGCAAGCCUGAUCCAGCCAUGCCGCGUGUCUGAAGAAGGCCUUCGGGUUGUAAAGGACUUUUGUCAGGGAAGAAAAGGGCGGGGUUAAUACCCCUGUCUGAUGACGGUACCUGAAGAAUAAGCACCGGCUAACUACGUG
rnacentral:rRNA from 1 species